AGCAUAUCAAUAAGGGGAGGAAAAGAAACUAACAAGGAUUCCCUUAGUAACUGCGAGUGAAGAGGGAAAAGCUCAAAUUUAAAAUCUGGUAGUGUUUCACUGUCCGAGUUGUAACCUAGAGAAGUGUAACCUGUGCUGGACCGUGUACAAGUCUCCUGGAAUGGAGCAUCACAGAGGGUGAGAAUCCCGUCUUUGACAUGGACUGCCAGUGCAUUGUGGUUGUGCUCUCAACGAGUCGAGUUGUUUGGGAAUGCAGCUCUAAAUGGGUGGUAAAUUCCAUCUAAAGCUAAAUAUUGGCGAGAGACCGAUAGCGAACAAGUACCGUGAGGGAAAGAUGAAAAGAACUUUGGAAAGAGAGUUAAACAGUAUGUGAAAUUGUUGAAAGGGAAACGUUUGAAGUCAGUCACAUUGGCUGGGGAUCAACCCGACAAUUUAGUUGGGUGUACUUCCUGGUUGAUGGGUCAACAUCAGUUUUGACUGCCAGAAAAAGGUCAAGGGAAUGUGGCACCUUUGGGUGUGUUAUAGAUCUUG
rnacentral:rRNA from 1 species